GACGAACGCUGGCGGCGUGCUUAACACAUGCAAGUCGAACGGAAAGGCCCUGCUUUUGUCGGGUGCUCGAGUGGCGAACGGGUGAGUAACACGUGAGUAACCUGCCCUUGACUUUGGGAUAACUUCAGGAAACUGGGGCUAAUACCGGAUAGGAGCUCCUGCUGCAUGGUGGGGGUUGGAAAGUUUCGGCGGUUGGGGAUGGACUCGCGGCUUAUCAGCUUGUUGGUGGGGUAGUGGCUUACCAAGGCUUUGACGGGUAGCCGGCCUGAGAGGGUGACCGGCCACAUUGGGACUGAGAUACGGCCCAGACGCCUACGGGAGGCAGCAGUGGGGAAUAUUGCACAAUGGGCGGAAGCCUGAUGCAGCAACGCCGCGUGCGGGAUGACGGCCUUCGGGUUGUAAACCGCUUUCGCCUGUGACGAAGCGUGAGUGACGGUAAUGGGUAAAGAAGCACCGGCUAACUACGUG
rnacentral:rRNA from 1 species